rnacentral:rRNA from 1 species
GACGAAGGGGGCUAGCGUUGUUCGGAAUUACUGGGCGUAAAGGGCGCGUAGGCGGCCUGUUAAGUCGAACGUGAAAUCCCCGGGCUCAACCCGGGAACUGCGUCCGAUACUGGCAGGCUUGAAUCCGGGAGAGGGAUGCGGAAUUCCAGGUGUAGCGGUGAAAUGCGUAGAUAUCUGGAGGAACACCGGUGGCGAAGGCGGCAUCCUGGACCGGCAUUGACGCUGAGGCGCGAAAGCCAGGGGAGCCAAAGCGGG